UACGUAGGGGGCUAGCGUUGUCCGGAAUCAUUGGGCGUAAAGAGCGUGUAGGCGGCCCGGUAAGUCCGCUGUGAAAGUCGGGGGCUCAACCCUCGAAUGCCGGUGGAUACUGUCGGGCUAGAGUGCGGAAGAGGCGAGUGGAAUUCCUGGCGUAGCGGUGAAAUGCGCAGAUAUCAGGAGGAACACCGAUUGCGAAGGCAGCUCGCUGGGACGUUACUGACGCUGAGACGCGAAAGCGUGGGGAGCAAACAGG
rnacentral:rRNA from 1 species